GACGAACGCUGGCGGCGUGCUUAACACAUGCAAGUCGAACGGAAAGGCUCCAGCUUGCUGGAGUACUCGAGUGGCGAACGGGUGAGUAACACGUGGGUAAUCUGCCCUGCACUCUGGGAUAAGCCUGGGAAACUGGGUCUAAUACUGGAUAUGACCUUUCUCCUUAUGGGGUUUGGUGGAAAGUUUUUCGGUGUAGGAUGAGCCCGCGGCCUGUCAGCUUGUUGGUGGGGUGAUGGCCUACCAAGGCGACGACGGGUAGCCGGCCUGAGAGGGUGAUCGGCCAAAUUGGGACUGAGAUACGGCCCAGACUCCUACGGGAGGCAGCGGUGGGGAAUAUUGCACAAUGGGCGGAAGCCUGAUGCAGCGACGCCGCGUGAGGGAUGACGGCCUUCGGGUUGUAAACCUCUGUCAGCAGGGACGAAGCGUAAGUGACGGUACCUGCAGAAGAAGCACCGGCUAACUAUGUG
rnacentral:rRNA from 1 species